UGAAAUGGUUGAUGACGAUAACGCACACGUCUCCCCGCACAUCCCGACCUUUCCUCUUUGAUAAUACCCCUAUUGCAAUGACUCAUAUUGAUUCAGCCUCGUGUGUUACGACCGUUGGAUUUAUGAAUGAUGACCCGAGGAACCACUUCCCGUGCGAGGAAGAGAGAGAGAGAGAGAGAGAGAGAGAGAGAGAGAGAAGGCUAGUUUACAAACAUCGUGCAUCUCAGCCCGAGGAACCAGCGAAUCCACCGCGACUAUGUAAUCCACCACAUCCUUGACUGCUGCGACCUUGUGGUGUACAUUGGAUGACACGGCAGCGAAGUUUUUAUUUUGAUCAGCUUGUAAAUAUCUUGAUAGCUAAAUCUGAUCAGCUUAAUGUACAUAGGAUGACAUGACAGCUCCUGCUUGCUGCUGUCUUGUUAAUAUUACUGAAACUGAAGCUGUUGUUCAGAUUUAGUGACAGAUUAGUUUGAAAUUGAAAGCUACUGUGGAUUCUGCUGUCUUUUUUUGUGAUGUCUCUCUGUAUUUGCAGCUGGUGUUCACAGGUUGUAUAAGAAGUGAAUACAAUAUUGUACUUUGGUGUCUGUUGUUAAAGAAAUCGCAUCUGGAAUACGAUUUGUCAGUUGUCAAUGUUCCUGGGGCUAUUGGAACAUCUUCAGAAGCCGUGUUUUUUGGGCACUGACCGGAGCUUUGACAGUUUGCUAUGCUGAUUUAAUAUCUUCGAAGGAUUUGGGCCAAGUAUCACACACUGAUCCACCAAGGUUUGUUGUCUCCUACUUGUUACGUGCCAGCUUGUCAGUUUUGAUUACUAAGGCCUUUGAGUGAUGAACAUGUUGAUAGCGAGCAGUUGGAUAUAGCUAGCUAUAAUGUUCGAAAUUCAGGGUCUGAUAUUCUGGAUCUGUUGGAACUUUAGAUCAUCAAUGACAGAUAAAAAGAGUCUUCAACUGCUCAGGAUUUUUAAAACUACUAAGUUGUUGGGCAGGUUCGAGAUAACAGCUCAUCUUAUACUCCCUCCAAGUCACAACAGAAGCAAGAUGCUCCUGAUUUACCUAGAUUGUCAGUGAGUUCAUGUUCUUCAGUUUGGUUUAUGUUCUUUUUUGGUCAUGUUACAAAUCCUUCCAGCUCCUAUUUACUUGUUCUGCACUUAGUAUUACUGGAUGGGAUGUAAGCGACCUAUGAUCCUCAAACUGGACACAAUAUUUUAGACCAGCAGUCGAUGAAUCUGCUAGUGGCCUUGGGCACCCAGGAGGUGAAAUUGAAUUUGUUAACUGUAAAGCAAUCAUGAUGACCCUCCCCGCAACACUUGUAGUUAUGAUUAUACUUGUAUGCUCAGAUAAGGAUAUGUACCUGCAAUUUUUUAUAACUUGGGUUUUAUCACAUUUGAUAUUGUAACUCCACAUCUAUUCUAGUGUUUUCUAUGACCUACAUGUCAUGCUUUCCAUCUGCAACUCCUCGGUUCACAUGCCACAAGUAGCAUUUCUACAUCGUCAAUUCCAAUGUUGCAGCAAGCACAACAGCCACAGCAUGUUUCACAGAUGCACCCCCAAGUUCAUGUUUCCCAUUUUGCUAAUCUUAUGCCAUACAGUCAUUUGCUCCCCCUAUCUAUGUUCCUCCAAUGAGUAUGCCUAGCUAUUCUAGUAACCCUGCCUAUCUCCAUCCCUCCACUGGAAGCAAUUACUUGCUGAUGCCUGGAGGUAGCUCCCAUCUUAAUGCGGAUGGGGUUUAAGUAUGGAAUCCAGCAAUUCAAGACUGUCCAACAGGAAGUACUUCAGGUUUAAGGAUUUUUACUAGUCUGACUGGCUAUGCAGUUAACACUUCUGGUGUAAUUGGCAGUGCAACAGGGGUUGAAGAUUCACCCCGGUUAAAGUAAAAGGAUAAUAAUCUUUAUGUUCCUAAUCCGCAGGUAAGUAUCUUGGUUCCUUUCACUUUAACUAUCGAGAUUCAGCUUUUCUUUCAUGUUAUAUGUUGUAUACAACAAAAUAUUACCAUACUAUCGAGAAACCAUUGCCCUGUCGCUUAAAGUGUCAGUACAAUGCGAAGUGAGGGCAAAUUACCUCAUGAGUGUAGUGAUCAUUUUGGUGUGACACCUGCUGUAGAUCGUGAUGCGCAAAGUACUCCCAACACGAAGCGAUCAAAUCUUUGAAUCUCCACUUCAAAACUUGGAAAAAAAAAGUGACAAAAAGGAGAGAAGGGAAAGGCGUUUUCUACUUGCGCAACUAGGACUCCUCUCCAUGUACACUUGAGCGUUCGUUUUGUCCUUAUCUUCUUAUUCUUCUUGAGCAGUUGUAACUCUUCUUCUUCUACUUCUUCCGUUUCUCUUCUUUUGUUCUUCAAACAAUUACUUUUUUCCUACUCUGAGUAUGCAAAUUCUCUACCAUUUGUAACACAUCAUCUUACAUACUUUUGCUUCUCUUUUUUUGAUACUUCCUUUUUCCCCUUCUUGAUUAAUUGAAGAUGGAAUAUCAAUAUUGCAUCUGAAGUUGCUAUUAUGUCCAAUUUGAGUUGUUGAGCUAAUAUUGUUGUAGUGUACUGCAUGCUGAAAUUAGUAAUUUGAAUUGCGCUUUGAUAUUUUAGGUACUAACUUCAUAUAUGUGCUCUGCUUCUCGUGUUGCUUUUUUGCUUUUAAAAAUACUGAUUGAUAGAGAAAUGGAUGGAAACCCCACUUCAGCAAGAAUCGAUGGAAAUGCAGCUGCUGGCUUGAGUCAUAGACCUUGGCCUACACUGAUGAAUUUCCCCGAGUUCAAAGUUAUGAGUUGGUGUGAGUUGUCAAUCUUCUGAAAUCUAAAGUCAAUGUUGCUGCUUGUAAUUUAAUCUGAUGCAGACGUGCAAGAAAUGUGAACGAAAAUGUAGAUCCGAACAUCUUCCUACAUUUGUUAUCGUAAACUCGUAGUAUUUGGGGUCAGAUAUGUCAAUCGCUGUUUUGA